GCGCGGUCCCGCUGCCGCCCGUGCUCCAGCCUGGGGCCCGGCGGCGGCUGCGCCUCACGCCGCGGUGGAGCCGCUCCCGCUGAGCACGGGGACAGCCCCCCAGUUGCGGUGGCGUCUUUCCCGCCGCUGCUGCCCCGGUGGGAACCGCUCCUGUCCCGGCCCCAGCCCGCCGUGAGGGGGACGGGGCGGCCUGAGGGGAGCUGCCCGCCAUUGGGGUCUUGGCGCGGAGCUGCAGCGGCGCGUGUCGCGACAGGAGCGCCAGCCGGCCUGUGAGCACUGCCCUCACCCUGUCGUGAUAGCAGCCUCAUCCAGUCCAGGGCAGGUAGAAUUUGACUUCCACAGAGACUGAGAGACUGUGAACACAAAGGACAGGGUUGCUGCUGGGCGAUUUCUGGAACUGGAUCUCUGUUCCUGCACAAAGAGCUCCUUGCUGCCUUGGAAGUGUAAAGAGGCAGUGAGACAGAGUCUGAUCUCAGUGACAGUAACCAUGAGAGAUCACAGUUUGGCUUGGUUUAAAAGAAAAACAACAUUGGAAAACAACAAUAUUUCAUCCUUCUAUCAUCAUCAGACUGCAAACUCUAUGUGUCAUCCCAGGAGCCUCCUGAGUGGUUUUCCCCAAUGCUGGUGUGGUGCUGGAGCCUGAGCAGUGAUCCUGUGUCAUGUAACACAAAACUACAGGUGUCAGCAAGAGGACUGCAAGAAUGAAUCCUGUUCCCUGAAAUGCAGCUGGGGAAUGAGGGCAGCUCAGGCCACCCCAGGCCUCAGGAGAUUGAUAGUGUUGGCAGCUGAGGAUCUAAUUAUGGAUUAUUUGGGUCGGACUCUUUUAUCCCAGUGUGCUACAAAUCUGAUGAUGGGCCCUUUAAUUCCUGCUUGUUCUGUCAGGAUGAAGAACGGAGCUAAAUCCAGCAGACCUUGUUUCGGCAAAUCUCCCACUGAAGUCAGGGUUUGUGAAAGUCAGGUGAACUCCUCCGGCCCAAAUGCCAAUGAGAAAAUUCCUGACUUCAGCCUCAGUUUGUGAAUCUCCUUCAAGUCACCCCAAGGGGAGAGAGUCCUGCCAAGGGGAGAGAGCCCUGCCCCGCUCACCGAACCGCCCGGCGCCGCUCCUGCGGGUCUGGGGACACGUAGGCCUUCAUUUCCUCCUUGGCACGCUGCAGCUGGACCUCCAGGCUCUGUGAAGAAAUGCAUCAUUUCAAUACAUAUAUGGACACUGUCCAGGGCAGCAGCAUUUCUGGCAGACUCACGUCCUUGCUGAUCAGAGCUGGAUGAAGCACCCUGAGUCCGUGUGCUGCUGCUCAGGACCUGUGUGACUGCAGCCACCCCACAGAGCAGCUUCAGGCACCACCUGUGGGUGAUACUGACUGGAUUUGCACUUUCCUCAUCCUGAGGGAGGGCAGGGAAGCACUGCAGCCCAGCAUUAAUCCAGGAGCAGCAGCCAGCCCCACCUCACCUGCUCCAGUGCCAAGCGAUUGGUCUCCAGCCCGGCCGCACAACUGUCAUACUGGAUUUUCUUCUCAUCACAUUCUUGAGUUAAUUCCUUGGUGAAAAGGGCAAAAGGGCACAUCAAUGAAUUCUUCCUUUGGCUGGCAUGUGACACUCAGCCCCUCACACACCAGCCCCAGCUGCUGGAGUGUGACCCUCGCUGGCACAUGGCUGUGGUUACACAGGGAAGCCACCAACCCCCACACUCUGGGAUCAGAGAGAAGGAAAUUCCCUCUGUUCCCUGCCAGGCUAACAAGGCUGUGUUUGCAAGAAGAAAGAACAAAUAAUUAUAAAAAUAGACAUUAGGAAAGGAUCAAUAUAAGUGCUGCCUAUGAAAAGCCAGAUUUCCACUUGUGCACACAAUCAACCUUUUUGCUGAAUUUCAUCUGCUGACACUUUAAAUGGAACUAUUAAAAGUAGGUUUUCUGGAAAUUUCAUUGAUAGAUAAAUGCAUCAGUUUAUUGAAUUCCAUGCUAAUGAGCUAACUUAUGGCAGCUAUACACCCAAAAGACUUUUUUCCCCCCAGCUCUCUAUAAAAUUUUGAGAACAAAUGGACAAAUUUAUCAGUGUCACAGACAAAAGCAGAAAUUAAAUCAAUGUAGCCAACAUUUGGAUGAGAAGUUAUCUGCAAUCCACUCAAAAAGACAGCGUUGGUUGGGAUCACCAGUGCUGAAAUACAGAAAUAGCUUUGCAACUAAUCUGAAACUAACUUUGCUUUGAGUUUGAACUAUGACUUUUCACAUUUUUCCCUGGUGUAGUAAUUUUUUAAAUUGCUGUAAAGGACUGAAUUCUGUGCCUGCACUGUCAGCUUUUACAAAUCCCAACCUUUAGCACGUUGCUUGCUGCAAACGCUGUUGACAAAUUCUGCUACUUCCAGCUUUCCCUCAGAGUUGAUCAUGUCCUUGUAGAGCACUUCAGAGAUCUGUAAAUUGGAUUUAUUUGUGGGUUUGACUCGGUUUACACAGAAAGAGAGGAGUGUUUCUACAAACCUGGCAGUUCUGACGCAGCUGCCUCAGCUCUUUGAUGACAGGAGCAAGGCUUGCCUUCUUCUCUGCCACCAUGGCAUUCAGUUUCUUCACCUGAGAAAGGGACAAAAUAAUAUUCGUUAACUCUAUAACCCUAAUUGUACAUUUAUGUAAUUAGGAAUGUGAAAAGAAAGGGAAGUAAACCAAAAUACAGAGAGAAAACAUGUGUGAUGAAACCUUAAUUAUACAACUGAAGUUCAGGCCUAAUUAAGAGAGGGGAAAAGCCCAUCUGGCAGUGGGGUCAUUCCCACAAAUGAUGCAAAUUCUGCUUCCAUUGUUCCAUCUGAGGACAUCCCAGAAAAGUCCAAGGCACUGCCCUCGUGCCAGACACCAAAGAGCUGAAGGAGUAGGGGAGAUGAAGGGGAUGCACAGAGGGGGCUCAGAGAAAGGAAUAAAUCCUUAAGAAAACAAAUACACUUGCAUAGGUUAAAUAAAGCUUGAAAAUGC